rnacentral:rRNA from 1 species
UACGGGGGGAGCAAGCGUUGUUCGGAUUUACUGGGCGUAAAGGGCGCGUAGGCGGCCACCGCAAGUCGACUGUGAAAUCUCCGGGCUUACCCGGAAAGGUCAGCCGAUACUGCGGGGCUAGAGUGCAGAAGGGGCAACUGGAAUUCUCGGUGUAGCGGUGGAAAUGCGUAGAUAUCGAGAGGAACACCUGCGGCGAAGGCGGGUUGCUGGGCUGACACUGACGCUGACAGCGCGAAAGCUAGGGGAGCGAACGGG